rnacentral:lncRNA from 1 species
UUACGUGUUCUAACGCAUACCCAGAUGGUCUAACAGUUUGACUCUGGAGUCAGCGGUGAUAAUGACAGAUUCCAAGACUCUCCGUUCCCCGUGUUCUUGGAUUAUUCCCGUGGUGAUGUGAUCCUGCGCUCAGAAGUUUGGACAGUGGCCUCCUGUUUCCCCAGCUUUCUGACUGGCAGAUGUCUCUGGAUUGGCUAGAACACCUGCAGGUGUCUCCUAUGGCUGGCGGCUGGAAUCUGGCUUUCAUCGGUGCUAAAGACCCAACCUCAGGAAGCAAAAAGAAUCAGGUGUUGGAGCCUAGCAGUCCUGAACCCUAUUUUGUUCAGAUGGCGAGGAACAGGCAUUCCUGAGGACUGCAUCCGUGGCAGCUGAUGUGUCCAAUUUAGCCCCAGAAGGGAAAGGGUUCUCUUUCCUCUACAAUUUGGAGGUGCAGGGGUUUGGGAAAGAUGAGCUAACCCAUUUGCGUUUCACCAUCUGUAAAAUGAGAAUGAAAGUAUCCACCUUGGGCCAGUGAGAUGGCUCGGUGAGUGAAAGUCACUUGUCACUAAGCCUGAAGACCUGAGCUUCCAUCCGUAAGAACUGACUCACUGUAGGUCGUCCUCUCCCCUCCAGCCGUGCACCACGGUGCUCAUAUGCACCCAAGCACUCACAUCCCACACUAAAUAAGUAAACCAACAAACACAAUGGUGAAAGUAAUCUACCCCGGAGACCUCUUGGGCCUUUGCUGUUCUGGAAUCUCUGUUCGUUGAACAUCAGGUGGUUACACAGCUGGUUCUCCUUUUGUAAUAUUAAAGCACAACAUGAUUAAGCUG